rnacentral:lncRNA from 1 species
ACCACAGUAAUACUUAUCAUUAUAAGUGAGUUAUUCUAUCCAAUAAAAAAAUUAAAAUAAAAAAUUUAGCCUUCCAAAUAAAAUCAAAAAAAUAUUUUAAUUUAUGGAACAGGACAAGACAAUCCGAGGGACAAAGUUAAAAAAUAUUUUGUACAGGAAGAUAAUUUUUAAAAUCUUUUCUGACAAAAUUUUUCCAAUCAAUAUAUUAGAAAUGCCAA